CGGGGCGUAGCUCAGCCUGGUAGAGCGCCGUCUUCGGGAGGCGGAGGCCGUUGGUUCGAAUCCAGCCGCCCCGACCA
rnacentral:tRNA from 1 species